rnacentral:rRNA from 1 species
GGAUAACCUACCCUUAGGACUGGGAUAACCUUGGGAAACUGAGGCUAAUACCGGAUAGGCAAUUUUUCCUGUAAUGGUUUUUUGUUUAAAUGUUUUUUCGCCUAAGGAUGGGUCUGCGGCCGAUUAGGUAGUUGGUUAGGUAAUGGCUUACCAAGCCGUUGAUCGGUACGGGUUGUGAGAGCAAGAGCCCGGAGAUGGAACCUGAGACAAGGUUCCAGGCCCUACGGGGUGCAGCAGGCGCGAAACCUCCGCAAUGUGAGAAAUCGCGACGGGGGGAUCCCAAGUGCCAUUCUUAACGGGAUGGCUUUUCAUUAGUGUAAAGAGCUUUUGGAAUAAGAGCUGGGCAAGACCGGUGCCAGCCGCCGCGGUAACACCGGCAGCUCUAGUGGUAGCAAUUUUUAUUGGGCCUAAAGCGUCCGUAGCCGGUUUAAUAAGUCUCUGGUGAAAUCCUGUAGCUUAACUGUGGGAAUUGCUGGAGAUACUAUUAGACUUGAGACCGGGAGAGGUUAGAGGUACUCCCAGGGUAGAGGUGAAAUUCUGUAAUCCUGGGAGGACCGCCUGUUGCGAAGGCGUCUAACUGGAACGGUUCUGACGGUGAGGGACGAAAGUUAGGGGCGCGAACCGGAUUAGAUACCCGGGUAGUCCUAACUGUAAACGAUGCGGACUUGGUGUUGGGGUGGCUUUGAGCUGCUCCAGUGC